rnacentral:tRNA from 1 species
GGGCGAUUGGCUCAGUUGGUUAGAGCGCUGCCCUUACAAGGCAGAUGUCACAGGUUCGAGUCCUGUAUCGCCCA